rnacentral:rRNA from 1 species
GACGAACGCUGGCGGCGUGCUUAACACAUGCAAGUCGAACGGAAAGGCCCUGCUUUUGUGGGGUGCUCGAGUGGCGAACGGGUGAGUAACACGUGAGUAACCUGCCCUUGACUUUGGGAUAACUUCAGGAAACUGGGGCUAAUACCUGAUAGGAGCUCCUGCUUCAUGGUGUGGGUUGGAAAGUUUCGGCGGUUGGGGUUGGACUCGCGGCUUAUCAGCUUGUUGGUGGGGUAGUGGCUUACCAAGGCUUUGACGGGUAGCCGGCCUGAGAGGGUGACCGGCCACAUUGGGACUGAGAUACGGCCCAGACGCAUACGGGAGGCAGCAGUGGGGAAUAUAGCAAGAUGGGCGGAAGCCUGAUGGAGCAACGCCGCGUGCGGGAUGACGGCCUUCGGGUUGUAAACCGCUUUCGCCUGUGACGAAGAGUGAGUGACGGUAAUGGGUAAAGAAGCACCGGCUAACUACGUG